ensembl:lncRNA
GCCGGUAGGCUCUGCCAGAGCAGACGAAUGCACCAGCAAGUGUGAUGGGGUGAGACAGGCCUCCACAGUUGUGGGGGGCCUGAGAUUGAGUUGAAGACCCGACCCACAGAAGCAACAGGCACGCACAGAAACAAAAAUGCAUUCCCAAACUCAUGCAAACACACACAAAUUUUUACCCUCUAACUGGUGCCUAUUGAGACAGUUGUGCUUAGUUCACAGGACAUAAAUCCAGAAGCAGACAAAUCAUAGGGAUAGGUUAAUGGUACAUUAUCAAAUAAUGGGCAGUUUAAAAAAACUAAUGGAUUAAGUAGACAGGCCAUUCUUUAUAAUGAAUAAAGAGCUCUCUGGAUGUCAGAAGGGGGGGUUUCCACACUUUAACAACAAUUCCAGGGUGUCCAAUGGCUUGUACCUGUGUAAAUAAUUGAAUAACCUUGACUGAAUCAAUCCAUUACAGCUUUUUUUUUUUCCUUUCUUUCUAAAUUGUGCCUCACAACGCAUCAGUGAAAUUCUUAGUGACCAAAGGUCAGUUAAUUGCAAAUACAUUCUCCGGCUUGUUGUUCUUCCUCCUUCAGCCCAUGAAAAACAUUUGGCUGUGCUGAGAGAGAAAAAAGCAGAUCGGCAUUUUUGCUGUGAGACUGCUUGUGUGGCAGGAAGCGUGUAAAUGGUGCUUCACAUUCGUCGCAGCAGCAGUGAGCGUGAGCAGCUGACGGGAAUGAGAAUGAACAUCACUGUUUGCGGACAUGAAAUGAACGCACUCUCCAGCAGCUCAGUUAUGUUAAGUCUGUUUUUCUGUAGCCGAACUUAAACAUGGAGCUCUGUUUGCCUGACAGCAUCAAGGCCAGUGGGGAGUGGGCCAGCAGGGAGGAGGUAAAUGAGCCCAGCAUUCAAAAGAAGAGGGUGGAGUCGUUUAGGAUGUAAUGAGCUUCAACCCAGCCUCCUGUCUCUGUGUUUUCAUACAGACCUUAUUUUGUUAACGUCACACCCUCAUAUGAGCUGACAUUGAAUAUUUCCUUCCCUCCUCCACCGCUCCAGCUGGAUCUGUCUGUAGCUUAAUUCAUCUCUCAUGUUUCAGGUUUAUUUUGCUUGGGUUAACUGCUGUUUACCCUCCUCUCGUGACGACUUGGAAGUACAUGUUUGUUCUCUACAGGGUGCUUUUGGACUAUAAUUAGAGUAGCAGGUUUGAGGUAAACAAGUCUGAAUUUAGGUUAUAUAUUCCCAGUGUUAUAGGUUAAGGUUAGUGGUGCUCCUUUACAACACAGAUGCUCUGAAAUUCUCUGAAUUUGGAUCCUACUUAACAGUGUCUGUUACGUUUUUACUCCUCAAACAAUAUCUUUUUCUAAAGUGGGUUAAAUGUGAAACACUCCCCAGUUGGAGUCACCUACAGCAGUUUCAUCCCACAUGCACAUGUUAAGUCAUCUACCUGCUGUCCCUUAGACUUGGGGAUAAUUAUUGCCUCGGAGUUGUAAACGGUCUCAGCUUCCCUCCUGUCUGCUCUAACAAAGAGCAAGAACUCAGUUUUAUCUUUAUUCUUUAAAAUGUACAAUGUUUGCACAGUUUGAGAAUAAAUGGAAACUUUAAUGUUUUCAUUUGUGUUGCAAGGGCAGAUAAACAUGCAGAAAUUCUCCAAGCUGUUUUGACAAAAACGGUGCAGAGGUAGAAGUGAAUUUCUUGGCUGUAAACACAAGAUGGAAACAGUCUCACUAAAUGUGCAUGAAAGAGUUUCUUUUAAUGUCACAGCUUGCAUACACUCACCUGUGUAAUUGUUCAUGACGUGGUAAAUAGACUGGUUCCUAUAUCUUGCUUUUCUACUCUACCUGAGCACUCAAACCACUCGCUUUGUAUGAAUGGGGCAUGUUGUAUAAACACUACUUUUGUGUGUUCUAACAUUUACAUUUCAAUGGAUGCAUCAGGGUAAGCAUCUUAAGGACAAGAUUUGACAUGUAGACUGGAGCAGCUUGGGAUCGAACCACCAACUUUCCGAUUAGAUGACCUGCUCUGCUUUCUAAGCUACAGCAACUCCUUUAGAUUCAACCGAAUGGCACAGAUUCAAAAAGGUGCUGGAACUGUUCCUCAGACAUUUUGUUCCAUGUUGAUAUGAUGGCAUCUGCGCCACUGCAGAUUCAUCCGGUGCACAUCAUGAUGUGACCCUGUUCCACCACAUCCCAAAGGUGCGCUGUUGCACUGAGAUCAGGUAAUUAGAGGUCUUAAGGUUUGAUAUGAUCUGAGCUUUAUGACAGAGCUUUAUCCUGCUGGAGUCUGUAACCACAAUGUACUCAUCUUCUGGUGGCUAAGGAAUGGAUGUGGUCAGCAGCAAUAAUCAGGUAAGCUGUGGUGUUUUAAAUGAUGAUCACUGACACAAGGCAGUAUGGAUUCAUGGUGUCAUGCUGUUUAUGCCAAAUUUUGACCCCAAAUUUCAAAGGUCGCAGCAGAAAUCGGGACUCUUCAGACCAGGCAAUGCUUGUUUUUUUCGGGGGGGUAUGUUGUGGUGUUUCUGGGUUGUUUUUUUUUGUUUUUGUUUUUUGUUUUUUUUUUUGUUUUUUUUUUGUUUAAUCGUCUGGCUAAUUUUGGCGAGCUAUUGUCACCUCAGUUUCCCGUUAUACCUGCUGCCUUCCUAGCAGCUCAAAGCAGUCUGGCCAGUCUCCUCUGGCAUCGACAAGAUGUUUUCACCCAGAGAACUGAACAUUUUCUUUUUCAACACAUUCUCUGUUCAUAGCAUUUCAGAAACUGCUGAUCUGCUGGAAUUUUCCCACACGAUGUUACUUGGAUUUACAGUGUCUGGCACCGCCAAAAACUACCACCAUGUUACAUUCAACGUCACUUUGCUCUUGUCUCCUCACAUUGCAAAAUCUGCCAUAAAAUCCUUGAAUAUUUCUUUUUUUUUUUUUUUUUUUUUUAUCUUUCAAAAGAGUGCAAAUGCACCAGAGUAUGGACCACAUGUAAGAGUAAAAGACACUGAUUUAAAAAAAUUUGAUUUGACGAUCAUUUUUGGCUGUGUUAAGCUUCUGUCAUGGAUUCUUUUUGCAGGAAAUCUUUUUCAUCAAUGGAAAAAGUUGGAAAAAAAAAUGUCUGAGGAGGGCUUAAGGGUUAAAUGACCUUUCUUCCCCUACUGAUGAUCAGCUUAAAGUUCAGUGGCUUAAAUGAGACGAUGGAGACCUCCCAGGAUGGGAAAGAAAGAAGCUUCAAAUUCAGGUCCUGCAUUGACGCCGAUCACACCAGGACAUUUGAUCUGAAGUCGCAGCCACAACCUCUGACUUCCUCACAGCGCUUCUUUUUCACACACGAAGGGAAAUGUCAAAUGUUUGCAUUUUCAGAGGGAGCUGGGUGUUAUUUUUCUUGGCAGGCUUGAGCUCAGCAGCUGGAGACUUGCAGUCAGGUCAGAGAGGCUGACAAGGUUGCUACACCACCCCCUGAGCUUUUUUUUUUCCUUCUUCUCCUUCUUAAAUGGGGUGGCAAAGGAGAAAAUGGGAGCCUAUCAGGAGAAUCUUUGGUUUUGUAAAUUCACAAGUAUCAAUUAUAAAUUGAGAGGUGGGUCCACAACUGUAAGAAUAUGGCUAAUACACCGAAGCACACAAUUCAGUGUCAUCUCUGCUUACCUUUAUUCUAAACACAGCUCAUGCUUCUGCUUUCAGCUACAUUAGUGAUCAGUGGGGGUUAGUUUAGUUGAUUGCUUUUUAUUUUUACCAGAAAAGGCCCAUUGAGAUCAGUCUUUUUUUUUUUUUUCAUAAAAACAAAAGACCCAGCAAAAGUUGCAAUCUGUCUUCUCUUUUGUUUAGAACAUUCUUUAACUCAGUAAAAUUUUUCCAAAUUUUAUAAACUCUGUUUAACGAAUUCAGAGGUCCAGAUGCCCUUACAUUCAUUAAACAGUGCAACCAUGGGUACUAAAUUAUGGGUAUGGACAAGUGCCAUGCAUGUUUUGUUUCUGUACAUGUUAAAAUAAAUGGCCUGCUUACAUUUUUUUUAAUUUAAAAUGGUAUAAGCUGAAAGUAUUCCUUCUCUUUGUAAUUUCACUGUCUGAAAUAAAAUGUGCGUUGACUCAUACUCUCCUGGAAGAAAUAAACGUGGUGUCCGAUUAGUAUUAAUGUGAUUAUAGGACUGAUUCUGCCAACAGUUAAACACUUUUCUGUUGUUAACCUGUCUUGGGGUGCACUACAAAAGUAAAAGCAACAUGCUGUAUUCUGUAUGUAUUUCAGACUGUAUAGUUGGUCAAGCAGUUGAUAAUCUAACCAUUCGAGGCCCUCUGUACAAACACACUCGUAAGUACAGUGUUUGGACAACCCAUCUGUCUCUUCUUCAUUGGUGGAGUCCUUUCCAAGUAAACUCUUUGACUCAGUUGCUAGGAAACUUCUACUCUGUCUCUGCCCUCCUGACUGCGAGCAGCCGGCUCGCUCCUCCUCGUGAUGUAAGGACGCUGUAA